rnacentral:rRNA from 1 species
GUGCCAGCCGCCGCGGUAAUACGGAGGGUGCAAGCGUUGUCCGGAAUCAUUGGGUGUAAAGGGUGUGUAGGCGGGAGCCUAAGUCUGUGGUGAAAUCUUGCCGCUUAACGGUAAAAUUGCCAUGGAUACUGGGUUUCUUGAGUACAGAAGAGGUCGGUGGAAUUCGUAGUGUAGCGGUGAAAUGCAUAGAUAUUACGAAGAACACCAGUGGCGAAGGCGGCCGGCUGGACUGUAACUGACGCUGAGGCACGAAAGCGUGGGGAGCGAACAGGAUUAGAAACCCGAGUAGUCC